ACCUCUUUCUUUUAUAAAUUACCCAGUCUCAGGCGGUUCUUCAUAUAAGUAUGAAAACGGGCUAAUACACUUCCUGAUUUCAAAACUUACUACAAAGCUAUAGUACUCAAGACAUUGUGGUACUGGCGUAAGGACAAACAUAGAUCAAUGAAACAGAACUGAGAGUCUAAUGAAGUUGAACUCCUAUAUCACAACAUACACAGAAACAAACUCAAAAUGGACCACAGGCUGGAGUGCGGUGGCCAACUGUAAUUUUGGCCACCGCGCCAGGCCAAAACUACAAAAUUCUUAGGAGAAAAACAUAGGAGUAAAUCUUUGUGACCUUGGGUUAGGCAACGGUUUCUCAGAUGGGACAUCAAAAGCACAGGUGACAAAAGAAAAAGGAGAUAAACUGUAUUACAUCAAAAUAAAAACAAAUGUGCUGCAAAUGAUACCAUCAAGGGAAAAGACGAUC
rnacentral:lncRNA from 1 species